UCGGAAUUACUGGGCGUAAAGCGUGCGUAGGUGGUUCGUUGUGUCUGUGGUGAAAGCCCCGGGCUUAACCUGGGAAUGGCCAUGGAAACUGGCGAGCUGGAGUCUGGCAGAGGGGGGUGGAAUUCCGCGUGUAGCAGUGAAAUGCGUAGAGAUGCGGAGGAACACCGAUGGCGAAGGCAGCCCCCUGGGCUAAGACUGACGCUGAGGCACGAAAGCGUGGGGAGCAAACAGG
rnacentral:rRNA from 1 species